GAACCAGAGUGUAAUCUCUCCCUUAACCUCAGAGACAGACCGAGGCCGAGAGCAGGGAAGUAAACCAGCCAAAGCAAAGCAGACCAGGCCAGACUCACCGGCUGCCAAGGCUGGCUGGUCUCCCACACUGGGAGGGGCCUGGAGGGUCUCAGAAUGGUCUCUGGGCUUCAGUACCUCAUCAGUGAAACAAGCACAUCGUAAGAGAUAAUACCUAAUCCACUUCUAGCUCUAAAAUGCUAUAAAAAGGUACUCACUGAGUGCUCACUCUGCACCAGGACCGGGGCGCAAGGGUGGCAAGCGAGAUGGUCCCCACUCCCAGCCCUGCCGGAUCAUUCCCGAGUGCCAGAAAAGAUGAGAAAAGACAUGUAGAGAGAGAACACUGGAAGUCAGAACCAGAGCUAUGAAAG